CAUCCGGAAUUCGACCAAUCAUAGUCGGGGGUCGGGGGUGAGGAGACGUAGCUGGUCAGGAAGCAGGGGCCGUAAGGCCUGGCACUGAGAACGCAAACCCGGGAGCCAGCAUCCAACUGGAGAGCGAACGGCUGGCGCCGGGGUCCCGAGUGAGAAGAAUGAUAUAAAAAUCAAAAAGCGUCAGUGUGUGCAACAAAUCCAGCAAGAAGAGAAUAAGGGCUGCUGGUCGUGGUCACUUGAGUUCAGGAUUUCAUGCUGGAAGGAAAGAUAUUUUAAACUGUCUUAUCUUAUUUCUGAUAAGUAUCUCUUCUAAGGAAGUUUUCAAGAAAGGAACUUGUGGAAGAAUUUGCUUCUUGAAUAAACUGUACUCUCUCCUCCACACCGAGAACUACUAAGGCUACUAGAAGGACAGAAGCAAGUUAAACUAAAAGCUCAUCUGUAUCUCAGAAAAGACAUGGAGUUUUGAGGAGUGAAAGUAGCAUGGUGUCGGCCAUGGGUGAUCAGGACACAGCCGGACAAUGUGGACCCAUUUCUUCAAACUACGGCUUUUCUGCUGUCUACUUGCAGUGUUGAUGGUAGUGGUGCUGGUUGUCAAUGUUACUCAGGUAGAGUACUUGGACCGUGAGACUGUGUCAGCCACAUUCAUUGACAGCAGCGGACAGUUUGUUUCCUCCCAGGCUGCCCGCAUCAGCCGGAAUCCCUACUGUGGCUAUGAGCACCAGAUCCUGUCCAGUCGGGAGCGCAUGGAGGAGGACUCUUUGCUGGCUGCCCUGCAUUGGCAGAUGUCUGAUGUGGGCCUAGUCCCCUUUGUGAAGAGCACUGAUCCAUGUUCUAGCUACUUUGUCAUUUUGAACUCUGCAGCCUUCUUCAAGGUGGGAAGUCAGCUGGAAGUGCUGGUUCAUGUGCAGGAUUUUCAAAGAGAGCCCAAGAAGUAUGGUGGAGACUACCUACAGGCCAGAAUCCACUCUUCCGAGCUACAGGCCGGGGCUGUGGGCAGGGUGGUCGAUUACCAGAAUGGCUUUUACAAGGUGUUUUUUACUUUGCUCUGGCCAGGCAAAGUUAAAGUGUCCAUAACCCUGGUUCACCCUAGUGAAGGGAUCAGAGUUCUUCAACACCUGCAGGAAGAGAAACCAGAUAGGGUCUUUUUCAAGAGUCUGUUCCGUUCAGGAAGUAUUUCUGAAACCACUGAGUGCAAUGUAUGUCUUCCUGGGAGUCUACCUCUGUGUAACUUCACAGAUCUCUACACUGGAGAGCCCUGGUUCUGCUUCAAGCCAAAGAAGCUCCCUUGUAGCAGCAGAAUUAACCAUUUCAAAGGUGGAUACCUGAAGGGCCUCCUAACUGCGUCUGAGAGUGCUUUCUUCCAGAGUGGUGUCAAUAUUAAAAUGCCCAUCAACUCCAGUGGACCUGACUGGGUGACUGUGAUUCCCAGCAGAAUAAAAGAAACUUACAACUUAGAAGUAUCUCAAGGCUCAGGAACGUUUCCUUCUGGGCAUUAUUACAAAGACCAGUGGAGUCCCAGAAAGUUUAAGAUGCGCCAGUUUAAUGACCCUGACAACAUUACCGAAUGCUUGCAGAGAAAGGUGGUCUAUUUUUUUGGUGACUCCACAAUCAGGCAGUGGUUUGAAUACCUCACUGCAUUUGUUCCAGAUUUAGUGGAGUUUAACUUGGGUAGUCCCAAGAAUGUGGGUCCCUUCCUUGCAGUGGACCAGAAGCACAACAUCCUGCUCAAAUACCGCUGCCAUGGCCCACCUAUCCGCUUCACUACUGUCUUUAGCAAUGAGCUUCAUUAUGUGGCAAAUGAACUGAAUGGGAUCGUGGGAGGGAAGAACACAGUAGUGGCCAUAGCCGUAUGGUCUCACUUCAGUACCUUCCCCUGGGAAGUGUACAUCCGGCGGCUCAGGAACAUCCGGAGAGCAGUGGUCCAGCUCUUGGAUCGAAGUCCUAAGACCACAGUGGUCAUUCGGACAGCCAAUGCCCAAGAGCUAGGGCCUGAGGUGAGCCUCUUCAACAGUGACUGGUACAACUUUCAACUGGACACCAUCCUCCGGAGGAUGUUCUCAGGGGUUGGCGUAUAUCUUGUUGAAGCCUGGGAGAUGACCUUGGCCCAUUAUCUACCCCACAAGCUGCAUCCAGAUGAAGUUAUUGUGAAGAACCAGCUGGACAUGUUCUUGUCUUUUGUGUGCCCCUUGGAGACCUAGCCUGCCUUGGCAGAGACUAGAGGAAGCUCUUUCAGUGACCUUUCCAACUGAUCUGCAUUACAGAAGGUUUGUGUGUGGCCUCAUUGUGAAGUGGCUACUAUCAAUAUGUAGAAAAAUUUAAAAAAAAUCUGUAUUUUAAUGAACUGUAAGGAACUUAGUCAGUGCAGGUUACAUUUAUAAUUACCUAUAGGAUUUUUUUUUCAGUCUUAGCCAUGGUAGAACCUUAUUAACAGCAUACACACUGUAUUCCCCCAGUAACCAAAGACAUCAAUGAGUGUAUUUCAACUAGCUUAUUUGGGAGUGGAGGUUAUUGUACUAAAACAUAAGAAAAAUGUUCUGAUGUAAACGGAAGGGGCAAAUUUUGUUGACAGUAGAGCCAUCUUUGUUAGUAGCACAAAUGAUCCAUCUUGCGGGGGAGUGAAUUAGGGCUUAUGGUCAGAGGCUCCUGUAACACAGUGAAGACUGCCAUGUCUCAGGGGUUUCUCUUGAUCUACCUUUUCUGAAUUACUUGAAAAGACCAAUGUGGUUGAUCAGCAUUUUAUAGUGAGGAUAUUAACAAGUUCCUGUUUUUAAUCUAAGGAAGAAGCAGAAGAGAAAUAUAUAAGCAGUAUAUAUAAAAUCUGUGUUUUGAAUUGAUAUUUGCAUUGAAUGAUUAUUUCUUACUUGAUUCAACAAAUUUUAUGUGAUGAAUACUUAUUCUAGAAUAAUCACUUUUAGAGCUGAGAGGGGGACUCUAUACACAAAAUUUUAUUUUUAUGUUCUGAAGUUUGAGGGUUUUAAGGAUUAACUUUUAUGUAAAGGAUGCUAUUAUAAAAUUUUAGAGCUUUCUUUCCACUAAUUUCAAGUAUUUGGAUUUUGGUUAUUUUGACCUACACAUCAGAAAUUAGAAUCUAAUUAGAAAUUAAUAAAACUAGAUAUAAAACUCCAUGACAGGUGUUUCUUGAUUUACAUAUAAGGUAUACACAUUCUCUCAUACUUGGAAGUAAAGAGCUGCUUACUACUAAGAAUAUUUGAAUUGCCAACUUUGUUUUAUUUUAUCUUGUCAAUUUUAAAUGAGUUUAGUUAAUUUGGGAUCAUUUAUUAAGUACCCUUCUUUUUGAGCUAUGAUAGAUUACAUUCUAGUAUUAGUUGUAACUAGACAUGUGAAGGAAUUGGGAAGGUUUUCAGAGAUGAAGAUGGAUGUUUAAAGCAUGAAAAGUUUGAGAAACACAAAGAGGAAGAUAGAACCAGGAAAGUGACAUUCAUCUGUUGUUUCAAGAGCUUUACCAGUAUCCUACUCAAUUCUGAGUAUGACCUAUUAAGAUCUUGAUUCUCAUUUUUUCUUCUUUGGGGAAUUUCAAGAACAAAGAGAAGACUGCCUCUAGUGGUCUGGAGAGAUGCUGCUUGUGAUUUCCUGUGACCUCAUCCAGUUUCUGUUACUUUUUGAUUUGAUUACAUAAAGUCCUAAAGAUUUGAUGACAUACAUUCUUGAGAUAAUAUCCACUUUCUUUCCUUUUUGUCUUUUUACACUGUGGUGUGGAAAUUUUAACAGAGAUUGAAAUAUUACCUGAUCUUUCUCAGAACAAUUAGGUAUAUUUUGAAGAUCCAUAAUAUGAAAACUUAAAAUUUGAAAUGCUUUAAAUUCCGAAACUUGUUUUUCUUCUCCAUGGGAAAGGUGUUUUUUUAAAUUAAAUUUUUAUUGGUACGUGUUUGCUCUACAUAAUGACUAUAUUCGUGUGGAGUUGGUACAUGUACAUAAUAACAUUUUAAUUAUUUUUUACCCCCUUUUCCUUCUUCCCC